GGCACAGUGGUAGAGUGGUUAAUACGUGAGACUCGAACGCGCUGAUUUCAGCCUUCUGACAUCUCAUGCCUUCGGGCGCGUAGGUUCAAAUCCUGCCUGUGUCG